rnacentral:lncRNA from 1 species
GGGGUGUCUAAAUUAUAAUCCAUAAAAUCUUUUAAUAAUUUGCCAAAAUGUAGUUCAUAUCCUGUUUGUUUAAAAACAUUAAUAAAAGAAUGGGUCACCGGACUUAUUUUCACGCUACAGGUUGUUCAAAAUUGUCAAGAUUUUGUAUAGAUUAUGCAUGGAAAACCCAUUUUUCCGCCAUAAAACGCAAACCACACCAUAGAAUUUUGAGAUAAAAUAUGAGAAGAUAGCUUCAAUAUUAUGCUUUCAGAUAAGAAAACGAAAAAAUGGGGUCACCGGACUCGUUUUCUUGCUACAUGUAAAAAUGGGUAAAUUCCUAACACAUUCUAUUGUAAAAGUAACACUAUCUGGAUUAUCUGCCCUUGCAUUUGAGUUGCCUCCCCUUAUUUGACAAAGUUGGAAAAAAAAUGAAUCAAACAAAAGAAUUCUUAUUUUUGUAAAAUACAAUCAUAAAUAUGAUCAAACAUGGCAUUUUCUAUAUUAUAAUGAAAAUUCUUACACAUGAAUUACCUACUACUAAAAAAAUUUGCACAUUUCAUCAAAGAUCUAGACCUUGUUUUCUAGUAUUUCAAAAUCCAAGAUGGAGGAAGACACCCUAUCUACCUUAAGGUCA